rnacentral:siRNA from 1 species
CCGAUUUUCCGGUUCACGAGCGU